rnacentral:lncRNA from 1 species
AUGGGGAUUUAUACCUCACACUCCUCAAAGGAAAUUGGCUCACAAAGACCCCCAGGCAUUGUCUGGUCAUAUGUGGGAGGCAGCAGCAGCAACAACAACAGCAACAGCAACAACAGCUACAGGAGGAAGAAGAGGAGCAGUGAGGGUGGCAGAAGCUUUUAAAAUUAAUCUGUUUUUUUGUCUAUUAAAAAAAAUGUUCUACCAAUUUAGAGAGGAACAAGGGUUCUAAACUCCAGACUUCUGUUCACCUACAAUGUAAAAUUUAAAUAUCCAGUAACUCCAAGAAUUAUAUUUUAUAAGAUUUAUUAGUAAUAACUUGAAGUAGAAGAAAUACAAGAACAAAAGUAAAAACCUGAGUAAAGCCAUGUGAAUAAAGUUCUUCUGCUUGGCACUCACCCAACUGCCACAACCACCUUCCAGGGAACAGAGAGCAAGGGUGGAGAUCGAACUGUUUGCCAGCACUAGAAGGGGGAAGGAAAGGGAGGGAUCAAGACAAUUUGGAUCACAUAUCUUCAGAAAACUUAUGUGGAAAUUUAUUAUUACAUGGGCAAUAGGCGGAGUCAUUCGAGACAGAAGGCGAGCACUGAUAAUAGAAGGAAAGGUUUAUCAAUUAACUUCGGAGCAGCUUUGCUCUGACAACUACAGGACCCCUCCCCGCCAUUUCACUAGCAUCAUGCUUCGGAAGCUGCGCGAGAACACUUUGGGUUGUGGGACGCCUGCAACAAUGAAUUAUCAGUAAGUUGCAAUAGCUGUCAGGGCCUCUCAUGAAACAUACUAGCCCUGUCCCGACAAGGAAGUGACAGAUUUAAGAUCCACGAUAAAACAAACAUUUCUGGACUUGACCAGUGUGGUGAUUUCUUUUGCUCUCCUCUGCAUAUUUGUUCCAAAGAUCGACUUUAUCUUUUUUUUUUUAUUCAAUGGGGAGUAGUGCAGAAUAGAGAAAAAAAAACAAUUUAAAAAAUAUAAAGAAAAUUAUGAAAAUAAAAGCAGUCCUGACCCCA